GAGAGAGAGAGAGAGAGAAACAUCAAUGUGCAGUUGCUGGGGGUCAUGGCCUGCAACCCAGGGUCAGCCACGCCAUAGCCUGGGUCAGGACGUCCUCCCUUUCAAGGCCAAGUGCUAGUCCCGUGCGGGGCCGCAUGCCAUUCAUCUGUUCGUCUGCCUGCCGAUGGGCAUUUGGGUGUCUCCUUCCUUUGGCCACGGGUUCCUUGCACCAAACAAAGUCGGCUUUGAAAGGUGUGCAUGACCUCAUUUCUCCCUCAGGGCGGGUCCUCGGCUGGAUGUCUGGAAAGUUCCGGAAACCAAUGACUACGUAGGAAGGUAACUUUUCUUCAUCCCCACAGCCCGGGAAGUGAGCUGCGGAGAGAGUUGUGGAUGAGCAGAGUGUGCAUGUCUCGGUCUGUGAAGGCUGUGGCCGAUUUUUCCGACUUUUUCUUGUGCGAUAGAUCUAAGACGGAGGUUCGAGAACGAUGGAGAGGGGGCUGGGACGCAGAAAGGCCCCUGGUGGCCCGCCCCGGGCAGUCCCGCCCUGGAGUGGCCCUCCCUCUCUCACGCUGCCCCAGGGGAAAGUGAUGCACCCCACCCUUGCCCCGGAUUAGCUCUGUGGUGCCCACCCCUCUGGCACAGGACUCACCAUGGGGGGUGGGGGGGCCCAGCUGUCUCCCUGUGCGGACGGCCAAGCAGCCCAUGAAGAAGUGUGAGUGGUAAGGAGCCCAGCCCUACCCCCCCCCAGGGCAGUGGUCCCCGGUCAGCCUCAGAGGAGACCCUGGGCCAGAACCGCUCAGCUCACCUCCUCCCGGUUCCUGACUCUCAGAAACUACGUGAGAUCCUGAGAAUUUGUUGUCAAGUGGCUGGCGGAGUGUGGGCGUGUUCGGGUCCACGGCAGCAUCGCCAAGGCGGCACCCGCAGGGAGCCCUUCAUCAUCGAAAGGACCGGGGUCAGGGGAACGGUUGAGUACACUGUGGCAAAUCUGAUCCCAGGUACGUUUUCCAGCCAAUUAAAAUGAGAAACAAAGACGACGACGCAGAAUGCAAACCCCAGUGCGAGUUCACGUUCAGGUACAAAGGCAAAAUGGAGACGCCCGUCGGGACGGUGAUCGUACCCACGGACGGGUCAAGUUCGCGCGUCAACAGAAAGCAGAGAGACGAAAUCUUCACGCUGCUGGUGGGCAGAACCGCAGAGACAAUGUUUGUGUGUGUGAUUGGAGGGAAGGGUACAACAACGCUUGUGGAUUAAGAUUUUUUUGUUUUUGUUUGAACGAAUAUAAAAGAAAGAAAAUUGAUGUAGAUUUGUUUUAGCAGCUGCUGGUGACCUCUGGUAAACUUCUACUGAAUGUUAGUGCAAAAAUCAAAACGGUUGCCCCCAAAAGUAAACUUCCUAAACCCUAAGUUUAUGUGCUGAGUAAACCCACAGUAAGUAAAAGUUUGUGGGUUCACACACCAUGACACAGAGAAAUACAAGUUGUCACGGCCUGGUGUCCUCCAAACCCCCCACUUCAGUGUCGCUAAAAUUCUCCUCUCAAGAAUUAUUUUAGCCCUGGCUGGUGUGGCUCAGUGGAUUGAGCACCA